rnacentral:misc_RNA from 1 species
AAUAAUUACAAUCACUAAUUAUUUCUCUCCCUCACAAAUCCACUCAAAGAAAACUCACAAGUUUUCGGUGCACCUCUUACAACUACUUUUUGGGUACAUGCUCCAACCCACGUCAACUCACAAAUUCGGUGGCCUGCUUCUCUCAACUUGAGGAAAUUUUUGGCCAACCAUCUUUAUGCUUUUAUAGGCCACCAAGUCAAGUCCAAUUUGGGACUUUAAUGUUUUCCAAUUCCAACUUUAAGUUGGACUCUUAAACUACCAAAAUUCUUCCUUUUUUUUUUUCAAUUUCUUCCUGGUAAAUUCUGCUUAAACUUCAUAUUUAAUUUUAAAUCCUAAUUCUGUUUGGUCUUGGAUCUCCAACAUGAAUAGUGUUAUUGCUUACUGGAAUCAAUCCAGUGCAAGUUUCUUUAUUGUCAUAACUUAUAUGAUAUUAACUGCUUAAGCUUGGUCUUUUGUUCUGUCCUUCUAUCGAGAUUAUUGGAAAAAGAGGAAUGAAAUUUAAAUCCUUUAUCCUUUUAAAAUUGCACAGACGCAUCAUGGAAACGGGUUCUGAGAUGUGUGCGGUGUGUGUGACUAUCAUAGUUAGCUCAGUCUUUUCCAAUCAUUUUGCAGAUUUUUGUUAGUGUUUUUUGUCAAGCUAAAUAGACGACUGUAAUGGGCAUUUUGACUUCCCCUCUUUAUGGUGGUAACUAGAACUUCAAUAUGGCACUAAAAGCGAUAAACUUGAUUUUACAAUUGUAUGUGAUUGCAUUAGGUCAUUCUAACACCUACUUUCAUCGGACAUUAUCUUGUAGAGUUGUCAAUGCAUAUUUUUUCCUCUUUGCUUUUGGUCAUGUGAUUAUUUUUCACCUUAUGCUGAAUGAUUGGGCUAACAUCUAUAAUUCUCAGAGAACGUUUGGGGUUUCGAGCCUUCAGAAGGAGGAUGAGGAAGACUUUAGAAAGCUGAGGCAGCUUGCCUCAGCUGUCUACCUGCAAGUGAGCACAAUUAGCCAGGCCCUCAUAUUUGUGACUCGGUCUAGGAGUUGGUCUUUUGUUGAACGUCCUGGCCUUUUACUUGUAUCAGCUUUUGUUAUUGCUCAGCUGGUAGUGAAUUUUAAUUUGGAACUCUGUUUCUUUUAAGUACAAUUAUUACUAGAACAUAUGAUUUACUACUUGCUUUUCUUUCAAGGGCAGAUUGCUACUUUGAUUGCUGUCUAUGCAAACUGGAGCUUCGCUGCAAUUGAGGGCAUUGGAUGGGGUUGGGCUGGCAUCGUUUGGCUCUACAACCUUAUCUUCUAUUUCCCACUUGAUUUUAUCAAGUUCUUCAUCCGAUACGCCUUGAGUGGGAAAGCUUGGGAUCUUGUCAUUGAGCAAAGGAUUGCCUUCACAAGGAAAAAAGAUUUUGGGAAGGAAGAACGUGAGCUUAAAUGGGCACAUGCACAAAGGACCCUGCAUGGUUUGCAUCCACCUGAUACCAAGAUGUUCAACGACCGCAGUAGUUACACAGAACUUAAUCAGAUGGCUGAAGAGGCAAAACGACGAGCUGAGAUUGCAAGACUAAGAGAACUGCAUACCCUGAAAGGGCAUGUUGAAUCAGUAGUGAGACUGAAGGGUCUGGACAUCGACACGAUUCAGCAAGCAUACACGGUCUGAGAGAUUAGAUUGUUUUUGCAUCCUCAGAGGUAUAUUAUACUUCUUAUAGAUGAAAGUGAAAUGUGUAAUUUAAUCUUCUGAAUGUAUAAAAACCAUAAUCUAGGAGCAAUUCUGUAUCAUAUUUUAGGACGAGUGUUU